CCGCGCCUGCAGCAUGAUGGUCAAGGCCACCACGCCCGUGCGCAUUCUGAAUCUGGUCGCGCCCCUGGCUCACAAGGCCACGGACAUGCACACCACGGAGACCGCUGCCUCAGUGCAGGCCAGGCCCGGUGCAGUUUCCCGGCUGAUCGGCGCAAGCCUUCGGCCGGGCGACGUGGAAAGCGCGAACGCACG
rnacentral:ncRNA from 1 species